GUGGGUGAUGUUGAGAAAGGCAAGAAGAUUUUUGCUCAAAAGUGUGCCCAGUGACACACUGUGGAAAAGGAAGUCAAGCACAAGCCUGGGCCAGACCUCCAUGACCUCUUUGGGUGGAAGACAGGUCAGGCUGUUGAAUUCUGUUACACAGAUGCCAAUAAGAACAGAGGCAUCAACUGGGGAGAGGGUACACUGAUGGAGUAUUUGGAGAAUCACAAGAAGUGCAUUCCUGGAACAAAAAUGAUUUUCACUGGCAUCAAGAAGGCAGAAAGGGCAGACUUGAGAGCUUAUCUCAAAAAUGCUAAUGAGU
rnacentral:lncRNA from 1 species